rnacentral:rRNA from 2 species
GACGAACGCAGGCGGUGUGCUUACCACAUGCAAGUCGAACGGUAAGGCCCUUUCGGGGGUACACGAGUGGCGAACGGGUGAGUAACACGUGAGUAACCUGCCCCUCAUAUCUGGGGAUAACAGUCGGAAACGGUUGCUAAUACUGGAUAUGAGCUUGCAAGGCAUCUUUGUGGGUUGGAAAGAUUUUUUGGUUGGGGAUGGACUCGCGGCCUAUCAGCUUGUUGGUGAGGUAGUGGCUCACCAAGGCUUCGACGGGUAGCCGGCCUGAGAGGGCGACCGGCCACAUUGGGACUGAGAUUACGGGCCCCAGACUUCCUUACGGGAGGCCAGGCAGUGGGGGAAUUAUUUGCCACAAAUGGGACGGGAAAGUUCUGAAUGCAGCA